rnacentral:rRNA from 1 species
GCUCAGGACGAACGCUGGCGGCGUGCUUAACACAUGCAAGUCGAACGAAGAGCGAUGGAAGCUUGCUCCUAUCAAUCUUAGUGGCGAACGGGUGAGUAACGCGUAAUCAACCUGCCCUUCAGAGGGGGACAACAGUUGGAAACGACUGCUAAUACCGCAUACGAUCUAAUCUCGGCAUCGAGGAUAGAUGAAAGGUGGCCUCUACAUGUAAGCUAUCACUGAAGGAGGGGAUUGCGUCUGAUUAGCUAGUUGGAGGGGUAACGGCCCACCAAGGCGAUGAUCAGUAGCCGGUCUGAGAGGAUGAACGGCCACAUUGGGACUGAGACACGGCCCAGACUCCUACGGGAGGCAGCAGUA